GGAGUCGGCCGGAUGAUCGCGGCCCUUAUAUAUUAAGGGUGGAGGAAAGUCCGGGCUCCGGAGGGCUGGGUGCCAGGUAACGCCUGGGAGGCGCGAGCCUACGGAAAGUGCAGCAGAAAGUAUACCGCCUAAGUCCGCAAGGGCCGGUAAGGGUGAAAUGGUGCGGUAAGAGCGCACCGCGUCACCGGUAACGGUGGCGGCACGGUAAACCCCACCCGGAGCAAGACCAAAUAGGGAAGCAGGCGGCUCGUCCGCAACGUGUGGCCCACGCGGCUUCCGGGUAGGUUGCUUGAGGCGCACGGUGACGUGUUCCCAGAUGAAUGAUCAUCCUCGACAGAACCCGGCUUACAGGCCGACUCCCAAC
rnacentral:RNase_P_RNA from 2 species